UACGUAGGGUGCAAGCGUUGUCCGGAAUUAUUGGGCGUAAAGAGCUUGUAGGCGGUUUGUCGCGUCUGCUGUGAAAUUUCGGGGCUCAACCCCGAACUUGCAGUGGAUACGGGCAGACUAGAGGUAGGUAGGGGAGAAUGGAAUUCCUGGUGUAGCGGUGAAAUGCGCAGAUAUCAGGAGGAACACCGGUGGCGAAGGCGGUUCUCUGGGCCUUACCUGACACUGAGGAGCGAAAGCGUGGGGAGCGAACAGG
rnacentral:rRNA from 1 species